GAGGAUCCUGGAUGUGAAGGUAUUUGCCCAAGGCAGAUCAACCUAACUGGAACUUCAACCCAGGGUUUCACCCAGGCUGUCCAGGCUUUUCCUACUGUGUCAUACUGCCUUUGAAAACAGACCAUUCUUUGCAAUUGUCAAAAAUCCUUACAAGGAACUGACAUUCCAGCACAGAUGAAGUUAGACAUAAAUACCAUGCACCAAAGUACAAAUUCAGCCCAAGAAAAGAAGAGAACAGAGACCAACAAGAACAUUUUGAACCUGCCAUGUGUCAGGAACUUUGGGAUACAUGAUCAGUAAGAUUGCAAGGCUUCUCCAAAUUGACGCUCUCUUUCUGAAGGUACAGUGGCAAGAAGUGCAUGAAGCAGUUCAGUGACCCAGUGCA